GCUCAGAGUGAACGCUGGCGGUAGGCCUAACACAUGCAAGUCGAACGGCAGCACAGUAAGAGCUUGCUCUUAUGGGUGGCGAGUGGCGGACGGGUGAGGAAUACAUCGGAAUCUACUUUUUCGUGGGGGAUAACGUAGGGAAACUUACGCUAAUACCGCAUACGACCUACGGGUGAAAGCAGGGGAUCUUCGGACCUUGCGCGAUUGAAUGAGCCGAUGUCGGAUUAGCUAGUUGGCGGGGUAAAGGCCCACCAAGGCGACGAUCCGUAGCUGGUCUGAGAGGAUGAUCAGCCACACUGGAACUGAGACACGGUCCAGACUCCUACGGGAGGCAGCAGUGGGGAAUAUUGGACAAUGGGCGCAAGCCUGAUCCAGCCAUACCGCGUGGGUGAAGAAGGCCUUCGGGUUGUAAAGCCCUUUUGUUGGGAAAGAAAUCCAGCCGGCUAAUACCUGGUUGGGAUGACGGUACCCAAAGAAUAAGCACCGGCUAACUUCGUGCCAGCAGCCGCGGUAAUACGAAGGGUGCAAGCGUUACUCGGAAUUACUGGGCGUAAAGCGUGCGUAGGUGGUUGUUUAAGUCUGUUGUGAAAGCCCUGGGCUCAACCUGGGAACUGCAGUGGAAACUGGGCAACUAGAGUGUGGUAGAGGGUAGCGGAAUUCCCGGUGUAGCAGUGAAAUGCGUAGAGAUCGGGAGGAACAUCCAUGGCGAAGGCAGCUACCNGGA
rnacentral:rRNA from 1 species